rnacentral:rRNA from 1 species
UACGGAGGGAGCUAGCGUUGUUCGGAAUUACUGGGCGUAAAGCGCACGUAGGCGGCUAUUCAAGUCGGGUGUGAAAGCCCGGGGCUCAACCGCGGAACUGCCCUCGAAACGAGGUAGCUAGAAUCUUGGAGAGGUCAGUGGAAUUCCGAGUGUAGAGGUGAAAUGCGUAGAUAUUCGGAAGAACACCAGUGGCGAAGGCGACUGACUGGACAAGUAUUGACGCUGAGAUGCGAAAGCGUGGGGAGCGAACAGG